UCCCUGGCAGUCUAGUAGUUAAGCCUCUGUGCUCCCAACACAGUGGGUACGGGUUUGAUUCCUGGUCAGGGAA
rnacentral:tRNA from 1 species